UCACAAUUGAAGGUUGUGCUGCUUUGGCUUCAGCUCUGAUAUCAAACCCCUCACACCUGAGACAACUGGAUCUGACUCGGAAUAGACUAGGAGAUUCAGGAUGUGAACUAUUCACUGCUCUAUUGGAUUCUCCACAUUAUAAACUGGAGACACUGCAUAUUUACAGGUAUCCAAUGACAUUCUCAUCUUUCCCUGGCCCCAAAUUUCCACACCGAUAUCCACACCGACGCCACACACUUACAGAAUAAUAUGCCACUCGGACAGCCUCUCUAACCUCUCUCCACUUUAAUUUCAGUGCAGGCUAUCACAGCUGACGAAGAUGCUGAAGCGGUGAAGAGAAUGAAGCUGGGUAAAGCAACUGGACCAGACGAUUUGCCAGCAGAGGUGUGUCACAAUGCUGGAAUUCGAUUUAAUGGCUAGCACAUUUCUUCAGCCAGGCCGUCUCAAAGAAGAAGAUGCCUGUUGACUGGCUAAACACGACCAUUCCAAUCUGGAAGAAGAAAGGCAACCCGGCUGAAUGUGCCAACUACGGGCCAAUUUGAUUGUUCUGUUAGAUUUUCGAACGAGUCCUGAAUAAGCCAAUAGGCCAGUGCUAUGGACACUUCUCUACGUGGACGGAGUUGUGCUCUGCGCCAAAGAGAAAGCCAACUUCAAGCAGAAUGUCUAGGCAUGGAGCAACCAGCUGCGAUGGAUCUCCGGCAUCACGCACUUCAACUACGCCUGUAAUGAUGACAUUCGGCAGUGGUAUGGUGUUGCUUCAAUUAGGGAUGUACGAUAUUAUCGGAACGUUAUUGGAAUUGGCUGAUAAUGGCUUAAAAUAUAAAUAUCGGCAUUGGCCCGAUAUGAAAAAUUAUGCCGAUUAUGUCUUGAGAAAUUAGUUGAAAAAUAUUGGCAUGUCGGAUAUCGUCAAAAAGCCAAUAUCAUGCAUCCCUAGCUUCAAUAUCUGACAAGCUACAUGAAGCCCAGCUCUGGUGGUAAAUAAUAAGUCAUUUAAUGAUCAAGCAAGUUUGAGUGGUGUGUGGGACAUUUUGUGGCAAUUUUUCUAGUUUGAACGGACCACACUGUAUGAAAUGUCUCUUGCUCUCACACACACACACACACAUAAUGACUCUACUGACUUUUUAGACUUUACAGCAGAAUUUUAAGUUGUCUCAUAUUUAAGUUUGCAUCAUUGUUAUUUUCCUAUUUAUUACUGUGAAGUUGAUUUGAAACUUUCUGUAUAAAACUAUAAAUA